UUCAACCAAGGGAUAGGAGGGGAUGCAAAUUUUAGAAAAGGGAGUAAGACCCAGAUUUCUACACAUUUUCAUAAGCAAUAAUGUCAUUUACUUUUAAGAAUUUAUGUAAAACCCUUUUUAAAACUGUCCACUGUUCCUGCUGUGACCACGUCCUGAGGUAGACUAUUCCACAGAUUCACAGUUCUUACAGUGAAGAAGCCUUGACGCCACUGGAGACUGAACUUUUUAUUCUCCAGUCGGAGGCAGUGCCCCUUUGUCUUUUGAGAGCAUUUUACAUGAAACAUCUUUUCACUGUAUUUUUUUGUCUUGCCCAUUUAUAUAUUUGUAUAGGUUAAUCAUGUCCCACCUUAGAC